CGGGUGAGUAACACGUGGAUAACCUACCUAUAAGACUGGGAUAACUUCGGGAAACCGGAGCUAAUACCGGAUAAUAUAUUGAACCGCAUGGUUCAAUAGUGAAAGACGGUUUUGCUGUCACUUAUAGAUGGAUCCGCGCUGCAUUAGCUAGUUGGUAAGGUAACGGCUUACCAAGGCAACGAUGCGUAGCCGACCUGAGAGGGUGAUCGGCCACACUGGAACUGAUACACGGUCCAGACUCCUACGGGAGGCAGCAGCC
rnacentral:rRNA from 1 species